rnacentral:lncRNA from 1 species
AAUCAUGUUUCUGCCAGGCAAACUUGCCCUGUUGGUCUGUAACAAGUAUUGUAGGGAAGCAACUACCUGGUACAGUUUUGCAGAAUGUGAAGUGGCAUCCCUGUGGGGAGCCAGGUUGUCCUGGGGCCACUGCAAGCAUGGCCAAUGCAUUCUUAGUGUUUGUCACCUACAUGCUUCAGGAGAAGAUGUGAGGGUCUGUGCCAUUAAAUUACACUCUUAAGCUGAGAUGGGUCCAGAGUAAUUUUAUGCAUUGGAAUGAACUUUAAGAACAUGUAGUUCAACCCAUCCCAUGUUUUAGGUGAGAAAACUGGGAAUUAGACUAAUUAGAGCAUUUGUCCAAGUUCAUGCAGUUAUGAAAUGAGAGAGCCAGGUUUCAAAGCCUUUUUCUGGCUUCAAGCCCAUUCAUUUUUCUAAUGCACAAUGAUGUCCUUCUCAAGUGUAAAUGAGAGUUGAUCAAGUAAUAUAAAGUGAGAACCUACUCAUGCCGGAUAGUCUAUGUUGAUGCUGUAUAGAAUUAAAAUAUAAAUAUGUCCAUGGAUGUGUGGCUAGGUGGAGGAUGGCGGAGAUAUGGGUAAGUUAGGCACAGCUCUCAAAGAGAGGAAAGACAUCAGUAUAGAUAGACAUGGACAAAGGAAACGUGGGCGGUCCCCAUGACAGCUGCGCCAGGUUUCAGCAGGAGAUCUGCCCAGCCAGGGCUCUAGAGUUCAGGAGAAGGGGGUCAUUUUCAACAAGCUUAACAUGGGGGUGACAUUUCAACAGGGCGCUGAGAGACAGGAAGGCACAGGGAAGAGGACACAGUAAGCUCCUUGGGUGAAGACAGGCCUCCCUUAGGAGGCCAAGAAUAGAGCAGUUGGGAGGGAAGUUUUUACUGUGUUUCUUUCUUUUUUUUUUUUUUUUUUCCUUCCCUUGGACUUUUCCAUCCCCACUCUUCCAGAUUUUCUUUUUUUUUUCGUUAGACUGAUCUCCCUAACACACCUGGAAAGAUAUGGGCUUAUAUAACACUUUUCUAGAGACAAUAAAACUCCCGAUUAAUUCUUUUUUUUUUGAGAGAUAGGGUCUUGCUUAUCUAGGCUGGAGUGCAGUGGAGCAAUCACAGCUUACUGCAGCCUCGAACUCCUGGGCUCAAGUGAUCCUCCACCUCUGCCUCCCGAGUAGCUGGGACUAUAUAUGUGUGGCACCACGCCUGGCAAUUUUUUUUUUCAUUUUUUUGUAGAGAUAGAGUCACUCUCUGUCACCCAGGCUGGAGGGCAGUGGCAUAAUCACAGCUCACUGCCUCAGCCUUCCAGGAUCAAGUAAUUUUCUUGUCUGUAUAGCUGAGAUGACAGGCAUGCACCACUGCGCCCAGCUAAUUUUUAAAGUUUAUUUAUUUAUUUAUUCAUUCAUUCAUUUCAUUCAUUCAUUAUAGAGAUAGGGUCUCACUUUGCUGCCCAGGCUGAUUUCAAACUCCUGGCUUCACGCUGUCCUCCUGCCUGCACCUCCCAAAGUGCUGGGAUUACAGGCGUGAGCUGCAGCACCCAGCACUAAAUUAAUUCUUGAUCUGUAUAUUUAUUCACAUUUCUGUAAGAUAGGAAUAGAAGAGACUGUGAAGUUAGAAUUUGACCCACCUGGCACAUGUUGUUGUUUAUAAUAUUAAUGGUUAAGAGCAGGAGAGUUCAUUUUGAAUACUACCUAUUAAGGACAUGAUCUGCCAGUAAAACAUCUCCGCACCUGAGUAUGUGUCAAUACUUUGCAAACCUAAUUUAAUCCCCGCCUAUUUUGAAUUUAUGAUAAUUCAGCUGGGCUGCCCUGAAGUUGUUUAAUGUAUGUAGAAAAGCAGAUUAAUGGUGUAAACAAGAUUAUUGGGAGAACACUUAAGAAAACAAGACUUUUCAAGUACUUUGGUAGCAUUCAUUUACAUAAACACCCUACAUGUUAAUUACGAUUGAGUAUUAUCUAUUCAUUAAAGCAAGCUUGCUGGGUCUCUACUUGGCAAAAGCUCUGCUCGUUUUGACAGAUGCUUAAAAGUGAUCGAAAUUGCAGUUCUUUUUAUAUGUUCUAUCAUUUCGAAUUUGCACUAAUUUUCUUAUUACAGUGAGAAAUUUUUGUCUCUGCUUUUCAUUUUAUUAGGCAGUGGAAAUUGGAACAUUUGUGUUACAAAUCAGGAGAGCUUAUCACAGAAACAGGUUACAUGGAUCAGAUAAUAGAAUAUCUUUACCCUUGUUUGAUUAUUACACCUUUGGACUGCUUCUGGGAAGGGGCGAAAUUACAGUCUGGGACAGCAUACCUCCUGUAAGUGUGUGAUCAUGCUUUCUGAUGUCUGUGACUUCUCUAGGACUCAGUGUUUCUAAUGUUGCUUAUCAUUGUUUGUUCCAUUUCAGUUUUGAACAAGAAAUAAAAACAUUGAAAUUC